rnacentral:rRNA from 1 species
GAUGAACGCUAGCUACAGGCUUAACACAUGCAAGUCGAGGGGAAACGACAUCGAAAGCUUGCUUUUGAUGGGCGUCGACCGGCGCACGGGUGAGUAACGCGUAUCCAACCUGCCCACCACUUGGGGAUAACCUUGCGAAAGUAAGACUAAUACCCAAUGAUAUCUCUAGAAGACAUCUGAAAGAGAUUAAAGAUUUAUCGGUGAUGGAUGGGGAUGCGUCUGAUUAGCUUGUUGGCGGGGUAACGGCCCACCAAGGCAACGAUCAGUAGGGGUUGUGAGAGGAAGGUCCCCCACAUUGGAACUGAGACACGGUCCAAACUCCUACGGGAGGAAUCAGUGAGGAAUAUUGGUCAAUGGACGAGAGUCUGAACCAGCCAAGUAGCGUGCAGGAUGACGGCCCUAUGGGUUGUAAACUGCUUUUAUAAGGGAAUAAAGUGAGUCUCGUGAGGCUUUUUGCAUGUACCUUAUGAAUAAGGACCGGCUAAUUCCGUGCCAGCCGCCGCCGUAA